ACAAACAGCCAUAUCACCCUGCAGCCCAAGACUGGUUGCCCACUGAAGCUAAGCAGGGUUGAGCCUGGUCAGUACCUGGAUGGGAGACCUCCUGGGAAAACUAGGUUGCUGCUGGAA
ensembl:rRNA 5S_rRNA 5S ribosomal RNA